rnacentral:misc_RNA from 1 species
UUUCCGUAGGUGAACCUGCGGAAGGAUCAUUCUUGAGCGUCCGGGGGCUCCGACCCCCGACCCUCCAUCCCUUGCGAACUACACUAUUCUGCCUGGCUCGCGGCCCGCGGUCACCGACCGCGGGCGGGGUCAACCUUUAAACCCAAACCUUUUGUCAGUUUAUCGUCUGAGUUUUUACUUCGUUAAUCGAAAAGAAACACAACUUUCAACAAUGGAUCUCUUGGCUCUGGCAUCGAUGAAGAACGCAGC